UACGUAGGGCGCAAGCGUUGUCCGGAAUUAUUGGGCGUAAAGAGCUCGUAGGCGGCUUGUCGCGUCGGUUGUGAAAGCCCGGGGCUUAACCCCGGGUCUGCAGUCGAUACGGGCAGGCUAGAGUUCGGUAGGGGAGAUCGGAAUUCCUGGUGUAGCGGUGAAAUGUGCAGAUAUCAGGAGGAACACCGGUGGCGAAGGCGGAUCUCUGGGCCGAUACUGACGCUGAGGAGCGAAAGCGUGGGGAGCGAACAGG
rnacentral:rRNA from 1 species